UACAGAGGUCUCAAGCGUUGUUCGGAUUCAUUGGGCGUAAAGAGCUCGUAGGCGGUUUGUUGCGUCGGCUGUGAAAUCCCGAGGCUCAACCUCGGGUCUGCAGUCGAUACGAGCAAACUAGAGUGUUGCAGGGGAGACUGGAAUUCCUGGUGUAGCGGUGAAAUGCGCAGAUAUCAGGAAGAACACCGAUGGCGAAGGCAGAUCUCUGGGCCGUAACUGACGCUGAGGAGCGAAAGCAUGGGGAGCGAACAGG
rnacentral:rRNA from 1 species